rnacentral:tRNA from 1 species
GAGCCAUUAGCUCAGUUGGUAGAGCAUCUGACUUUUAAUCAGAAGGUCAGAGGUUCGAAUCCUCUAUGGCUCA